rnacentral:rRNA from 1 species
CCCACUGAACUUAAGCAUAUCAAUAAGCGGAGGAAAAGAAACUAGCAAGGAUUCCCCUAAUAUCUGCCAGUGAAGCGAGAAAAGCUCAAAUUUAAAAUCUGGCGGUCCCAUGGAGCCAUCCCAGUUGUAAUCUGCUGAAGCGUUUUCCGCGUAGGACCGCGUACCAGUCUUCUGGAUCGGAGCGUCAUAGAGGGUGAGAAUCCCGUCGUCUGACACGGACAUACCGAUCCUUUAUGUUGAUACUCUCUCGAAGAGACGAGCUGUUAGCGAAUGCAGCUCAAAAAGGGUGGUAACUUCCAUCUACACUUACAUAUUGGCGAGAGACCGAUAGCGAACAAGUACCGGGAGGGAAAGAUGAUACAGCACUUCGGAAAGAGAGUUAAGAAGUACGUGAACUUGUUGAAAGGGAAACGUUUGAAAUCAGUCGCGUUGGCCGAGACUCACCCCUCCUAUUUUUGCGGUGCGCUAUUCUCGGACGACGGCUCCGCCUCUAUUUUGAUCCUCUGAUAAAGACUGAGAGAAGGUGGCCCCCUCCGGGGUGUGAUAUAAGCUUUUGGCUCUACGCGCACCACUGCGAUUGAGAAACUCGGCGCGCCUCUCAUUGGUCGGCGCUUCGGCUCACGUUAACCUACCUAGGAUGCUGGAGUAAUGGCUUUAUGCGACCCGUCUUGAAACACGG